ensembl:lncRNA
UCUAUGGUCAGUGCUGCAGCCAGCUGGUCUUCUAGCUUGAUAUGCUUGCCUCUGUUGUAAUAACAACACUUGUUGGGCUGACAGAGAUGAUGAUGGAACCAGAUAUGUAAGCAGGAUAAAAAAGGUCACACUAGGCCAGUGGAAAACUUAUUCCUUAUUCUUUGUAAUGACAUCUCAUUUACAGAUUGUGCAUACUGCACACUGAGUGAAUUUCAUUGCUGUCUGCAGGGCUUGGAUAUGGUUUACAAAACACUUGAGUUCCUCUUAAUCCUCAGGGUGGCUGUGAGUAGCACACACCUCUCAUGUUACACUUCUGCAUGGGGCGAAUUUUUGAUUCAAGAGAACUAAAGAUUAUUUUGGGGAAGUAAGGGCUUUGUUUUUGAUUCUUUUUCUCAGUCUGAAAAGCCCCUUAUUGAACGAUGUAAUUACAAAGAAUAAAAGUUGCAAAUAAUAUAGCAGGGGAAAGGUUUUAACAUCACGCCUCUGUCCUAUCUGAGUAGAUCACCUCCAUACAUUGUUCAUGAUUGGGCAGUGCGGUUUCUGUUCAGAAAUGUUCCUGCUUAAGUGUGUGCUACAUUCGAUGAUAAUUAACAGAACAUUGUGUCAAAUCAGUGCCUGGCACAGUAUAUUGUUCUGCCUUGCCUACCUGCUACUAAGGGCUCAGCUGAGGACAGUUGUGAUGACUCAGAUCAAGGCUCCCAGGUACACAUGCUGAAGCAGAUAUAUCUCUCCAAAAAUAGUGCCCCAGAAUGCAAAAAGCAAAAAACGAGAAGUAUCUCAGUGAAAAAGCAAAUUAUUUCAUAAUUCUUUCAGACCUCUCCUGUCGUGUUGGUUCACACGAGAGCCUGUUUUAUCCAUUGGGAUAAAUACUGUUUAUGCAGAGGAUGGACACAAGCCUUCCCCACCUCUAAAAUCCUCCGAGACUUACAGAUAGACAGGUCCUACAGUAACUGUCUUCCCACAGGCACGUUUCAUCCUUAAUGCAGAACGAAUUUGGCUCAGCCCUUUGCAGACCUCUGAACUGUCAAAAGUCUGGAAACACGAGACUCUCAGGCCAGAUCUACUGGACAUAUGCAGCUUGCUUGGAGUCCACCCAACUGGUCUGGCAAGUAACUGAAGAACAUGGGCUUCCCAAUCCACAGCUCUGUGUCAGCGCUGCAAUGCUGCCUUGGCUACUUGAAAUUGGACCCCAAGGCUUCCAGGUUACCUGCCAGCAGCCUCACCCUGACAUCUGGAUUGCUUCGAACCUGGUAAUCUAAAGUUUUCCUUGCUCCCCAACUUCCAGGUAAAGCCCAGACAGCCAACUCUACUCAGGAACUGGCUCCGAGGGCCACUUCAGGGAAUGGGGUUAUCUGCUUAAAAUGAGGUCUCUCUGCUGGGAAGAACUUCAAGACUCCCAGAAGUGAAGGGUGAUCAUGCUGUACCACAUUCAUAUUGUUAUUCUAAACGUAUGUGCUACCAAUUGAUAUUAAAAGUAUUACAUAAUGAUGGUAUUAAUGAUAUUGUUCACAAUACCAGUUCUAUUGUGAAUGUGUGAUCCAGGGGAAAUUUUGAUAUUUAUAUAUUUAAUUUCUUCUGUAAAUAUAUCCCUUUUCUCUUGUAGAAUUUCUGACAUCCAAUUAACUUCAGUAGAGAGACAUCUGGGAAAACAGACACCGUGCAUAUGCAGGCCUAAAUUCUGGUAGAUAUAGAGAAAAAAAUAAAAUUAAUCAUGUGCAUGACGAUUCA